UUCUGAAUCACCUGGGGGUCUCGUUAAAAUGCAGAGUAUGAUUUAGUAGAUCGGAGGUGGGGUCUAAGAUUCUGCAUUUCUUACAAGCUCCCAGGUAAUGCUGAU
rnacentral:pre_miRNA from 1 species